UAAAGGAAUUGACGGAAGGGCACCACCAGGAAUGGAGCCUGCGGCUUAAUUUGACUCAACACGGGAAAACUUACCCGGCCCGGACACAGGAAGGAUUGACAGAUUAAGAGCUCUUUCUUGAUUCUGUGGGUGGUGGUGCAUGGCCGUUCUUAGUUGGUGGAGCGAUUUGUCUGGUUAAUUCCGAUAACGAACGAGACUCUAGCCUACUAAAUAGACGUUCCGAUCACUUUUGUCGGACGUUCUUCUUAGAGGGACAAGCGGCGUUUAGCCGCACGAGACAGAGCAAUAACAGGUCUGUGAUGCCCUUAGAUGUCCGGGGCCGCACGCGCGCUACAUUGAAGGAAUCAGCGUGUGCUUUCCCUGUCCGAGAGGACUGGGUAACCCGUUGAACCUCCUUCGUGCUGGGGAUUGGAAAUUGUAAUUAUGUCCAUGAACGAGGAAUUCCCAGUAAGCACGAGUCAUAAGCUCGUGUUGAUUACGUCCCUGCCCUUUGUACACACCGCCCGUCGCUACUACCGAUUGAGUGAUUUAGUGAGGUCUUCGGACUGGAACUCGGAGCGGCCUCCGGGUCGCGCCGGCGUGCCGGAAAGAUGACCAAACUUGAUUACUUAGAGGAAGUAAAAGUCGUAACAAGGUUC
rnacentral:rRNA from 1 species